CAGCCGCCGCGGUAAGACAGAGGAUGCAAGCGUUAUCCGGAAUGAUUGGGCGUAAAGCGUCUGUAGGUGGCUUUUCAAGUCCGCCGUCAAAUCCCAGGGCUCAACCUUGGACAGGCGGUGGAAACUACCAAGCUGGAGUACGGUAGGGGCAGAGGGAAUUUCCAGUGGAGCGGUGAAAUGCGUUGAGAUCGAAAAGAACACCAACAGCGAAAGCACUCUGCUGGGACGACACUGACACUAAGAGACGAAAGCUAGGGGAGCAAAUGGGAUUAGAUACCCCAGUAGUCCCUGUCUCUUAUAA
rnacentral:rRNA from 1 species